GCCAGCAGCCAUAUCACCCCUCAGCUCACAACUGGCAACUCACUGAAGCUAAGCAGGUGUGAGCCUGGCCAGUUCCUAGAUGGGAGACAUAAUGGGAAAAACUAUGGUUGCUGCUGGAA
rnacentral:rRNA from 1 species